CCAAGCCUCAUUUUCCCCACCUGUAACUUCUUAGCAUUUUAGUGAGCUGCCCAGGCCAGAGCUUAGCAGAGGGCAGAGACCAGCCCUGCUAGUCUCUUUUGUUCUAGUUUGGAAGCUGGAGGCUUCUUUUUGCUCAUGAAGCUGCUCUGGGAUGGCCAGUGUGGGUGGUGCUAGCCUCAUGCCCUUAGAGCCGGUGUUGUAGGGUGAUUUGUGAAAUGGAUUUGACUUGUUAGGCUCUUAGUUUUCUCUUUCCCCAGCCAGAUAAAAGAAAGACUUUGAGAUCUUUAUGAGAGCAAGAGAGUAGGACUGGACGAACCCCAGGACCCACACCAGACCCAUGAUGACCACGAUGGUUUCUCGUGAAGCAGCCCUGAAACUGAGGUCUCCUGGUGCCCAGAUUGAAGAAACAACUGAAAAGGGCUAUGGGGAACUUCUGCCCAUUACAGCAAUUGGACAAUGAUGCGGAACUCUCGCUUCGAUGAGAAGAUUGACUCCGAUGACUACAGCUGUAGAAUGACACUUGUACUAGUCCCAGUGAUGCUGAACAUUUUUUGAGACUGACAGUUGCCUUCUCCCUGAUUAGAGAGGUAAGCCUGGAGAGCUGGGAAGUAAGUCCAUCUCAUCAGGAUGGGGGGGUGGUGGUGAAGGAGGGGUGACAGCCACUGCAGCACCACCUCAGCUAGCCUGCUUCUGGUCAUUAUGGCUGGAUGGUGAUGACCUGGUGCCUUGAAUAGGAUUGUUCCCUACUUUGGGUUGAGAGCUCUAGACUUUUACUCUGAGAGUUCUAGACUUUUACUCUGCUGCUCACCCUCCUCUGCUUGUAGUCCCGAAACAGAUCAGUUUGAUUGUUCUUUGCUGAGGCUGAUGUGAUGAACUCUGCCUCUGUCCCCAGUCGUCUCAUUUCCUAGGUGCUUUGGACUUAGUGAAUGGUUUUCCUUUUCUGGCCUUACUAUUCCCUUCAGCCACAAUCAUCGCUUCCCUCCUCUUCUGGCAGCUGAAGGUGUUUGAUGUCAAGCCUAACUUCCCCAAAUCCAAUGAAAGGCACAGAGGCUGAGCUGUUAUCUGAUAUCAUGGCUUGGUUUACUCAAGGUGAUAUUUUGCUUUCUCCCCAGUGACUCUUCAUGUUUCUCCAUCUAACAUUUUUGGAAUCACUUAAUUCCUUAGUGCCCAUGCAAAUUCUCCUGCUGUUCUAAAAAAGAGGGCUCUAUUUUUCUUUGUUUGCUUCUUUUUAGGGCUGUACCUGCAGCACAUGGAAGUUUCUGGGCUAGGGGUUGAGUCAUAAAUGUAGCUGCCAGCCUAUGCCACAGCAACAGCAACACCAGAUCUCAGCCACAUCUGCACCCUACACCACAGCUCACGGCAAUGCCAAAUCCUUAACCCACUGAAUGAAGCCAGGGAUUGAACCUGUGUCCUCAUGGAUACUAGUCGGGUUCAUUACUGCUGAGCCACAUUGGGAACUCUAAGAGGGCUGUAUUCUUGAUCACAUUAAGGCAUUUA
rnacentral:lncRNA from 1 species